rnacentral:rRNA from 1 species
AGAGUUUGAUCAUGGCUCAGGAUGAACGCUGGCGGUAUGCUUAACACAUGCAAGUCGAACGAAAUCUUCGGAUUUAGUGGCGGACGGGUGAGUAACGCGUGAGAAUCUACUCUUAGAUUGGGGACAACAGUUGGAAACGACUGCUAAUACCGAAUGUGCCGAAAGGUAAAAGAUUUAUCGUCUGAGAAUGAGCUCGCGUUGGAUUAGCUAGUUGGAGUGGUAAUGGCACACCAAGGCGACGAUCCAUAACUGGUCUGAGAGGAUGACCAGUCACACUGGGACUGAGACACGGCCCAGACUCCUACGGGAGGCAGCAGUGGGGAAUUUUCCGCAAUGGGCGAAAGCCUGACGGAGCAAUACCGCGUGAGGGAGGAAGGCUCUUGGGUCGUAAACCUCUUUUAUUAGGGAAGAAGAUCUGACGGUACCUAAUGAAUCAGCAUCGACUGCCCUC